AUUGAACGCUAGCGGCAUGCUUAACACAUGCAAGUCGAACGAGUGGCGGACGGGUGAGUAAUGUAUCGGAACGUGCCCAGUGGCGGGGGAUAACUACUGGAAAGAGUGGCUAAUACCGCAUACUAUCAGAGCGGCCGAUAUGGGAUUAGCUGGUUGGUGGGGUAAAGGCUCACCAAGGCACCGAUCCGUAGCUGGUUUGAGAGGAUGACCAGCCACACUGGAACUGAGACACGGCCCAGACUCCUACGGGAGGCAGCAGUGGGGAAUUUUGGACAAUGGGGGAAACCCUGAUCCAGCCAUCCCGCGUGUAUGAGAAGGCCUUCGGGUUGUAAAGUACUUUUGGCAGGGAGGCGGUACCUGCAGAAGAAGCACCGGCUAACUACGUGCCAGCAGCCGCGGUAAUAC
rnacentral:rRNA from 1 species